rnacentral:rRNA from 1 species
AUUGAACGCUGGCGGCAGGCCUAACACAUGCAAGUCGAGGGGAGCGGCGGACGGGUGAGUAAUGCCUAUGAAUCUGCCUGGUAGUGGGGGCUAAAGUCCGGAAACGGGCGCUAAUACCGCAUACUAUCAGAUGAGCCUAGGUCGGAUUAGCUAGUGGGUGGGGUAACGGCCUACCAAGGCGACGAUCCGAAACUGGUCUGAGAGGAUGAUCAGUCACACUGGAGCUGAGCCACGGUCCAGACCCCUACUGGAGGCAGCCGUGGGGAAGAUUGUAGAGUGGGCGAGGGCCUGAUCCAGCCAUGCCGCGUGUGUGAAGAAGGCCUUCGGGUUGUACGGCACUUUCAGCGGGGAGGCGUUACCCGCAGAAGAAGCACCGGCUAACUCCGUGCCAGCAGCCGCGGUAAUAC